UUUUUAGGAUGCUGACGACUACAAGUUUGAUCGACAUAUAGCUGCUCUAAUUGAGAUGGAAGAUGCUAAGAAGCUGUUCAAUGAUUGUUGGAAUACAAAGAAUGAUGCUUUGAAAGAGACUCUGUCUGCUACCUCUCAAUGUCAUUUGGACACGAAAGGGAAGUCAAAGGUUGUCUGUGGUGAUGAAACUGUUUCUCCAAAGGUUUAUAUGAACUAAUAACAUAAUUUAAUAUUUUUUUUCAGUAUGUACAUUGUAUUUUUUAUCAUAUUAUGUGUUUUACUUUAUCAUAUUUUUUUCUUUUGUUUUAUGUCAAAAGCA